rnacentral:rRNA from 1 species
AGGACGAACGCUGGCGGCGUGCUUAACACAUGCAAGUCGAACGGAAAGGCCCGCUUGCGGGUACUCGAGUGGCGAACGGGUGAGUAACACGUGGGCAACCUGCCCUCAGCUCUGGGAUAACUCCGGGAAACCGGUGCUAAUACUGGAUAUCAACUUUGCCUCGCAUGGGGUGUUGUUGAAAGUUUUUCGGCUGGGGAUGGGCCCGCGGCCUAUCAGCUUGUUGGUGGGUGAUGGCCUACCAAGGCGACGACGGGUAGCC